GUUUAUUCCGGUUGAUUCUUGCGGAAGUCAGCACAAAUUGGCGGUUGCUCUCACGAUUCUCCUCGUUUUUUCAUCAAAAAAUGAUGGCGGCCAUUAUAGAAAAUUUCAUUUUUGUCUAUACAGUUGUGGUGGACAGUGGAGUUUCCUGGGCAGUUGAAGAAACAUUCGCCACAUAUUUCGACUAUUUGGAACCCGGUCUGCUAAGAUCAUGUAUUUACAUUUUGGAAAUAUCCAACGUGUAAAUAUAAUUAUAAUCUUGGGCAGGGAUCUCCGGAUGAUAUUUAGUCUGAAAUAUGGUGAAAGUGGAUCUCGUGAGAAGAUCAUUCGCAAUUUUGUUUUCUUCACAUCAAUGACUGCACCAGAGAUAUAAAAUAAUACGUUGAUCCUGAGCAAUCAGACAAAAUUGCAGGCUGCUUGAAAUCUAGCUUUUUUGCAAGAUUACUUUUUAAAUCUCUAUUCUGAAGAUUUGAAUCGUUGCCGAAAGUAGGGCUCUCCAGGGGAUAAAUAGUUUAAAGAGGAUCUCAUAGAAAAAAAAUUCCCCACUGUGCUUUCUCCGAUAAUGAUUCUACCAACGAAAAAACAAAAAAAUACAAAGAUCUCUGAGCAAUUCAGAAAAUAUUGCGGCUUGCUUAAAAUUCAUCCUACUUGUAAGAUUACUCUCGAAACCUCCCAGAGUGGAGAUUUGAAUUGCAACUUAAAGUUAGGGAUUUCCGGGGGUUAAAUUACUUCAAGAGGAUCUCGUGAAAGAAAUGAAUUCACUAAUUUGAAAUCAGUCAUGGAAGGAUCGCCAAAAGUAUCACUAAAACGAUCGUUGUGGAUAUAAUUCACUGGAAGGAUCAGUGCAAGAAAGAGAUUGCAGAAAGGCAGAAGAUCCAGAAUUUCAUCGACGAGCAAAUCAACAAAAUUUCAUGUCGGUACAACAAUCAGAAGGAGAGAAAGGAUGUGGAAGAAGAAAAGUGGUUCCUGCAUGCUGCCGUAUUUUUUGAAACUACCUUCGACGUGGGAUUCAUCGUUCGAAUUGAACAAUAGAAGAAUGGCCUAAAAGGAAAGCUAGUUGAACAACUCGAUGGAUGACUGGAAGGAUCAAUGGAACCAAAAAUGGAUCACUGGAAAGAAAAGGAGGCUGACAAGCAGAGGACCAAUUUCAUCAACGUGAAAAUCAACAAAUAACCGAAAAUAAUUUGGAAAAACACUGUUAAAGGAUCACUGAAAGAAUUACUGAAUGGAGAAGAAAGCAGCAAGGCAGAAAAAAUCAACAAAUGUUUUUUAACUUUAACUCUUGCACACUCUCAUUUCUGGUUUAGGAGAAAAAAAAUAUUUCGAAAUUCUUUGCACGUCGUGCCGAUCACAGCUCAAUUGGAGGAGCAAUCUUUAGGAGGAAUCCACCUUCACUCUUUUAAAAAUGAAGCUGUAAGACGACAAUUGAUAAGAAAGUCUUGGAUAAAGAGGAUUCUGGGAUAAAAAGUUUACAACUAAAGGAAUCCUUCUUUCAACUCCGUGUGUUAUAGUUUGUGUUCACCUAUGUCGGACUUUUCUGUGAACUAAAAUGGGGUCAUAUCAGCACAGCCGUUUCUGGUUUUACAAGUUCAGUGGCUUUGGCAAUGGAGUUAAAUCUUUGUGAAUGCAUUGAUAAUAAGGU